CCUCCGUCGGGUACUAGACCGAGUAGAGCGGGCGUAGCGUAGUAUCGGUUAAUAGUGUAGUGUAAUUAUUUAACCUUAACAUCCCCACAACAUUAUUAAAUCAAAUCGCUUACGCUUAGCAACGCUCAACCAUUUUUCAUUAAAUCAGCACUUUAUCAUUUCCAUAGAAUUCUACGUUUUGAAGCUUUCUCACGACCAUAAGUCUUCAACGGAAAAUGUCUCCAGUUUCACAGUCUACACGCGCCAUUCUAGUUGCGCUAAGAAUGCUUACGUAGUAGAAAACCAUACGUGGGAAUAUAGUAUUUUUCGAGUCUCACCUAAUCCACAUUCCAUCAAUAUGUAACGACAGAACUAAUGGAUAAAAUAAACGACACUUGUGUUUUAACUUCAAA